UUCCAGCUCUGAUAGCGUAUAUUAAAGUUGUUGCAGUUAAAAAGCUCGUAGUUGCAGUUUAGGAUUUCGCUUUUAUGGUAGGCUGUGAUAAACAGUUUUGUACUGUAGAGGCAAUCCUUUCCUACUGGUUACUCGACUCUGUCCUUUACUGGAUGGAGUAGUGUCGCAAGGCAUCGUUUUAUAUAAUAUUGCUCUUCAUCGUAGUUUUUGGGUAAAACUGAAGGUGAAAGUGAAGGGAUCACAGUAUUGUGUAAAAUGGGGUUCCAGUUCAUUUACUUUGAGUAAAUUAGAGUGUUCAAAGCAGCCUCUUGGGGCAUUGAAUAUAUUAGCAUGGGAUAAUAGAAUAGGACUCUUGUUCAUUUAUUGGUUUAUAGAUUUAGAGUAAUGAUUAAUAGGGAUAGUUGGGGGCACUUGUAUUCAAUAGUCAGAGGUGAAAUUCUAGGAUUUAUUGAAGACAAACUUCAGCGAAAGCAUUUGCCAAGGAUGUUUUCAUUAAUCAAGAACGAAAGUUAGGGGAUCGAAGACGAUUAGACACCGUCGUAGUCUUAACUAUAAACUAUGCCGACCAGGGAUAUGAGGAUUCUUAUUUAUACUAUUAAGUUAGUAUAAUUCCUUGUGCACCUUGUGAGAAAUCAUAAGUGUUUGGGUUCUGGGGGGAGAUAUGGUCGCAAGGCUGAAACUUAAAAGAAUUGCCGGAGGGGCACCUCCAGGAGUGGAACCUGCGGCUCAAUUAGUCUCAACACGGGGAAUCUGACCAGGUCCAGACAUUUG
rnacentral:rRNA from 1 species